rnacentral:rRNA from 1 species
CCUACGGGUGACAGCAGUAGGGAAUAUUGCUCAAUGGGGGAAACCCUGAAGCAGCAACGCCGCGUGGAGGAUGAAGGUUUUAGGAGUGGAAACUCCUUUUGUUAGGGAAGAUUAUGACGGUAUCUAAAGAGUAAGCACCGGCUAACUCCGUGCCAGCAGCGGCAGUAAUACGGAGGGUGCAAGCGUUACUCGGAAUCACUGGGCGUAAAGGGGGAGUAGGCGGGGUAAUAAGUCAGAUGUGAAAUCCUGUAGCUUAACUACAGAACUGCAUUUGAAACUGUUACUCUGGAGUGUGGGAGAGGUAGGUGGAAUUCUUGGUGUAGGGGUAAAAUCCGUAGAGAUCAAGAGGAAUACUCAUUGCGAAGGCGACCUGCUGGAAUAUUACUGACGCUGAUGCACGAAAGCGUGGGGAGCAAACAGGAUUAGAUACCCUUGUAGUC